rnacentral:rRNA from 1 species
CACCUACGGGACGCAGCAGUGGGGAAUAUUGCACAAUGGGGGAAACCCUGAUGCAGCGACGCCGCGUGAGUGAAGAAGUAUUUCGGUAUGUAAAGCUCUGUCAGCAGGGAAGAAGAAAGACGGUACCCGACCAAGAAGCCCCGGCUAACUACGUGCCAGCAGCCGCGGUAAUACGUAGGGGGCAGGCGUUAUCCGGAUUUACUGGGUGUAAAGGGAGCGUAGACGGUGCAGCAAGUCUGAUGUGAAAGGUCGGGGCCCAACCCCGGGACUGCAUUGGAAACUGUUGAACUGGAGUACAGGAGAGG